CGAGGUGUAGCGCAGUUGGGAGCGCGCCAGUUUUGGGAACUGGAUGUCGCAGGUUCGAACCCUGUCACCUCGA
rnacentral:tRNA from 1 species